CCAACAAAACAUUUAGUUUCGUUGUGCUGGUGAUAUCGCACAAGUUAAGUGAAAAGGGAUAUUUUGCUUAACUUGCUACGAUAUUGCUAGUUAGAUAUCUUUUUGAAUGAUUAAUUGAUUUUAGCUGUUUUUUACCGAAGCAUUUACUAAAGCCAUUUACAUGUAUGAUGAUACUUAAUUUUCAGUUCUGCUUCUGAGAAAAGCUUGAAGACAACCUGAUACCAAGAAACUCUCUAUUAUCUGAUUGUGUUAAUAGGCUUACUGCAUUUGCUUGUGUUUUGAAAUAGAUAAAUCAAAUAUAUAUGUUCGUGUAUUAA